rnacentral:lncRNA from 1 species
CAACAACCCACCAUCACUACUCCCACAACCACAACUGCUACUGUGCCCACAACCACCACCACUACUCCCACAACAACUACCGCUACUCCAACGACGACUACUACUACUCCAACAACCACCACCACUACUCCAAGAAGAACCACCACUGUUUCAAGAAUGAUGACCACCACUACUCCAGUAACAACCACAAUCAUUCCAACAACGACCACCACUAUUAUUCCAACUGCAACCUGGAAUACUUCAACAACUAUCACAAUUACUCCAAAACCGACAACCACCACAACUCCAACAGGAACACCACUACUGUAACAACCACUACGGUCACCACUGCUCCAGAGAAAAUGAGGCCCUCUACCUCUGCUUUUUUAAUGCCAUCACCCACAAAGGACUUCCAACCAGGUAAGCAGAUAUGCUUCUCAGCCCAGAAGGCUUUAAAGGUGAGGAUAUAGACCAUCCAAGGGCACUGUGUUAAGGCAGAAAUACAAUCUAGGGUAAGGAUGAUCAACCCAUUUCCAAAUCUGGUUUCACAAAAAUCUGAAACUCCCUGCCCCUUCUUACAUUCACAGUUUUUUUAUGUCUAAGCAUUUUCAGAUGAAGGGAACUCAUGGCUAUUAUCUGAUUCUCAAAGGAAUUU